rnacentral:misc_RNA from 1 species
GUGUCACGUAAAAUAAAAAGCAGGAGGCUCGAACGAAAAGAAAAAAUUAAGAUAACAAAAAAACAAGAGAAUUUAUUUCUGAAUUUACACUGACUGCGAUUUUGUUCUGAGCUCCAGCCGUGACUUUCCAAGACUGAAGCUCUUACAAUUUGACUUUCGGACAUUCGGUGGAAGGACCGUUAGGAUACAGAUGACUCAUUAGGCACUUCGGCGAUAUACAUUGUCGCCAAGGC